AAGAUAUUAUCAGAAAGACUCAACCCAGAUCUAACCACCUUAAUCCACCCAGAUCAGGUUGGUUUUAUUCUGGGGUGACAACUUUAUGAGAACACCCUUAGGAAUAUUGACCUAGUCUGUUGGAGACUGGAAUGCCUUCUCUGGUCCUAUCCUUGGACAUGGAAAAGAUGUUCGAUAUAAUUAAAUGCACAGAGAAGAGAUUGGGG